rnacentral:rRNA from 1 species
UACGAGGGGGGCAAAUGUUGUUCGGAAUCACUGGGCGUAAAGGGUGCGUAGGCGGGUUUCUAAGUCAGGUGUUUAAUCCCGGGGCCCAACCCCGGACAGGCACUUGAAACUGGGAAUCUUGAAUAGUGGAGAGGUCAGUGGAAUUGGGGGUGUAGCGGUGGAAUGCGUAGAGAUCCCCAAGAACACCAGUUGCGAAGGCGGCUGACUGGACACAUAUUGACGCUGAGGCUCGAAAGCAUGGGGAGCAAACAGG